UACGUAGGGCGCAAGCGUUGUCCGGAAUUAUUGGGCGUAAAGAGCUCGUAGGCGGUUUGUCGCGUUGUCCGUGAAAACUCACAACUCAAUUGUGGGCGUGCGGGCGAUACGGGCAGACUGGAGUACUGCAGGGGAGACUGGAAUUCCUGGUGUAGCGGUGGAAUGCGCAGAUAUCAGGAGGAACACCGGUGGCGAAGGCGGGUCUCUGGGCAGUAACUGACGCUGAGGAGCGAAAGCGUGGGGAGCGAACAGG
rnacentral:rRNA from 1 species